GUGUCGCGUAGGCCAUGUUGUUUUCUUGAAAUUGUUGCCAAUUGAAAUGUGUUAAAAACCAAAAUAAUUGAUUGACAAUUAACAGUUCACAAAAAUUAAAGGUUUCUUUUGAUAAAAUUCAGUCAACAAUCAGAUAUACAAACAAAAAUGGCUGAAAAACUCCAAAAUGUCGAAUUUCCACACAAGUGAUUAUGACGAUUUUUUGGUUGAACUUGCAUGAGAUCUUUUUGGCGUGCCGUUGUUAUUAACGCUUAGCUGUGGAUGCAUUUUUAUGGUAGUUGCCCAACAGCUCCGCUGAUACAAUCAUAUUCCUCUUGUCCACGGAGUGAAGGGUGUGAAUGUGGAUACGCUUUUUUUUCUUUUUGAAAGACCUCACCGAAGAAAAAUAUGGCGCUGUAAGUUAAGAAAAACGGCAGUGGAGACCAAGACAACGCCGCCUCACCAAUUCCGCUAACGAUGACCAGUUGAAGCCAACACAUCUUUACCUACUAUGGCCAUUUGGACAGUAUUAAAGCUGGUUUGGUCUUUUUGAUCUUUCACCGGUAUCCAGUACAAUCAAGUUAAGGUUUAAAUUCAAACUCUGGAUUUUAGCCAAUCACACUCAACUUCAUUAGCCACAGUUAAAGGAGGCACAAACCUAACCAGCCAAAUGAAGAGGUCUACAAAAGUUGUUGAUGACUUCAUACGUACAUACUCGUACAUGUUUGGUACAAAUAAGCCAAAUUCCCCUCACCAUGUUGUUUUUUCUUUUGUAUUGCGCCGAAUGAAUGACGACGAGAUUUGUGUCUACAUUUCCAUAAUCACAUUGUAAUAUUAGACUUCUUUGUCUUUGUGCCGCCAUAUUAUGCCAUUAUUUGCCAUUUGCGGGAAUGCUGUUAAAAGUAAUCUAGAAAGUAUUUAUCUUCAAGAAGUGCAUAAAAACAAUCGAGAAAAACUGGCACACAAUGAAACCAAAUGAAAUCAGGCAAUGAUUAAGCCCGUCCUUCCGUCAUCUGAAUGCUUUCCAAGACAACAAUAAAAAGAUGAAAACAAUAAUAAAACAAAACUGUAUUUUGACAAUUACAAUGAUGACAGAUUGAUGGUGAUUUGUUUAUGGCCGUAAUGGGAAUAUGUCAUCAUUGUUCAUAAAUGCAUCGUGAUUAAUGAUUGAGGAGCGGCGAAAUUGUUUUUUGUUACGAAUUUAACUUUUGCGAAUUGGAUAAAAUUGAAAAGAAGUCCAGUUUUGAGGUGAAAAAAGAAACAGUUUUGAAAAGAAGAUCAGUUUUAUGUGGCAAUGUUUUAAGGA